rnacentral:rRNA from 1 species
GACGAACGCUGGCGGCGUGCCUAACACAUGCAAGUCGAACGGGACCCGCAAGGGUUCAGUGGCGAACGGGUGCGUAACACGUGAAGAAUUUAUCCCAACGGCGGGGGAUAGCCGGCCCAACGGCCGGGUAAUACCGACGUACGACCCUCGGGGGGCAUCCCCUGAAGGUGAAAGCCGCAAGGCGCCGAUGGAGAACUUCGCGGCCUAUCAGCUAGUUGGUGAGGUCAUGGCUCACCAAGGCGACGACGGAGCUGGUCCGAGAGGAUGACCAGCCACAUUGGGACUGAGACACGGCCCAGACUCCUACGGGAGGCAGCAGUGGGAUAUUGCGCAAUGGGCGAAAGCCUGACGCAGCGACGCCGCGUGU